GCCGCCACCCAAGUGGAUCCAGUAAACGGCGGACGACUCCACGGGAAAGCGCAACCGAGCCCAACUGCUAAGCCCCAGCCAUCGUCCGCUGGUGACUCACCGGCGGCGAAACCCCGGCGGCUGGACUCGCCAGUGAUUUGCCGUAUGCGCGUAUGUUCUCUCUCCCUCUCCUCUCCCGCGAUAGUGGAUUCGAGUUGCAAAUGUAGACAGCGGCCGGAGCCCGGGGAGAUCAUGGCGGUAACAGAAGACGGGAGAUUGCCAGAUCGCAACCGCAAGUAAGGAGAUCGCCAGAACGGAUUGUCCAGCAUCUCGAACUUUGUUGGCUUAUUGUUUGGUUAUGAUUUUCACGUUGGCUAGAAAAAAAAAACUCCGUAGUACUUUUGCAAUUGAGGAUCCCAACUCUCUAGUUAACAAGGUAAAAUAGUUUACGAACUAUAUUAUUCUUUCUUGAGUGCAUACUAUAGGGCUCCUGAUGCCCGUCCUGCUGACGCCUGUUCCUAAGAUCAUGACAUCAUGUUUAUCUCAUAUCAUCUCCAAGUGAAGCACAUCAAUCUUCCACUACCUAGGAGUAGUUAGUAACUUGUACAUGCUAUCUCAGGAUUUGAUGUUCCUUCUGGCUUCUGUUACCGGUCAGAUCGCUGAUCGGUUUUCUUGGAUCAAUCUGAUUGGAAUUAAUUAUGCUUAUCAAGGAAUUUGACCACCAGGUAAUCCAUCGCACCUCAAAUCAGAAUAAUGUGGUUGAGGUAAGGAUCAUAGCUUCCCCUUUCAAAAUUCGUAAAUGAUGAUAUGGCCAUAUGGCCUUCUUACUUUAGUGCUAUAGAACAAUAUUGCAGGUAAUACCGAGACAAUAAGCAAAUGGCCGUUAGGUGUUUAACAUCCAGUACUGAUAUAUUGGAGCAACUGUUAUUUGUUCUUAAAACUGCAAGAGGAACAUAGCUGAGGCUGAUUUGGACUCGGUUUUGCUGUUUUUGAUUAAAUGAAUCAGGGCUUGUUCAGUCAUAAGGGUUUUUUUUUUCGCCGGGCCGGCCAGAGUACAGUCAUAAGGAGAAGCAGGAAUCUUCAAUGGUUGAAAGCAUCUGUAGCAGAGACAUGAUCCAUCAUCGAUCAUUUGCUCGUGUCAAUUUCCAUGAGAUGUAAAGCAUUUCCAGUUGGACAGGUGAAAUCGGGCUUUCAAAGGAUAUAGGAUUCUAGAUGUUCAGAGAGGUCCUGGGCUAUGGGAGAUGCAUAACAAAGGUGUUUCCACUGCAUAGCAGUGAGGUAUGCGUGUUUCAUGUAUUGAUCCUUCUGCAUUUCAGACAACUUAUUCUUUAUUUUUUUUUUCAUUAGGAGAGGGAAAGCAACCUACCUUCACUUCUUUUUAGUAUGAGGAUUAGAUGCAAACUAAAACUUUGCAAUAAACUUAUCAGAAAAGUUCAGGUUCCAUGUUACGCAUAUUAUUACUGACUUGUCGGCAUUGUGAUAUAUACAGAUAUGAUAGAAGGUGAAUAAAGAUAAGCAUCGAUCCAUAUUGUCGGAAUAGUUAGGUUGCUACCUUGUGAUUAAAACACGACAUUUGCAGAAACAAUGAACCUUAGGCUUUGGGUUGCAUUCGUUUGGACCUUCCUGAGAUUGGUCCCUCGAUCGGAAGAUGCUAUCAAGCAGUAUUACUCGACGUACUAACUUCCAAACAGAGUUGGGACUUCAGUGGAUGGUCCACUUCUUUGUUGCAAUUUCUUUUUCCUCCAAAUCAUAUUUUAUCGCCGGCAUUUCCAUACUAAGCCAGCAAACGAUUGCUAGGAAAGUUGCAGUUGUCACUCAUGAAGUAAUGAUUGAUGGAAAAAAAAUCCACAUACAUCGCUCUCGAUCCUUUCUCCGGCAGUUGAUGCAUCUGAAAGUGUGAGCUUUCGCAGUGCAGAUUUUGCAAUCUUUUGCCGUCUGAUAUCACACUAUCAUCUACAUCAACGGAUCGACCUGAAGAUAAAGAAAUCAGGUAAGUAGGUAAUGCAUUACAUGUAAGCAUGUUUAUUGGUAUUUUUGCUGACUUCCCACUGUGUGCUUUCGGAUCCUCCCGACCAAAAGAGCACCUGAGUUGAUAAAUUACAAGGUGAUCUUGUACUCUACCUUAGAGAUAUGCACCUUUUAAGCAAACAUAUUUGUACUAGGAUAGCUCUAGGUGGCCACCAAGGUUAGUGUCCACUCGCUGCUUCGCACUUGUGAGAGACAGGAAGCAUAAUUUACGCUCUCUGAUUUCUCUCGCCAUUGCUAUCUGGUGCAGUAUUUGUAUGUGCCCCUGCCUCUUGCUCAAUACAUACGCAUCAUACGUUUGCAGCACCGGGCCUACUACCUGAGCUGUAUUAUCAUCAGCAUAUAUUCACCUCAGGCAUCAUAUAGAAUACUACAAAUUAGUGGAUGUGCCUCCGUUGUGGAGAACACUGAAACCCACCAUGGCACUAUGCUCCUCUUUCUGUCUCACUACAGGCUCCAACUGUUCCCGCAUGGGUUUGUCUUCUUGCAUCUGCACACGCACAGAAUAAUUCAUUCUUCGCAUCGCAACUUGCAAAAGCUGGUCGCUUGCCUGAUGCUGCGCCCUGACGCGUGCUUUCGCUAGCUAACCUUUACAUGUGUUCAGGCGUGGAUGGUUUGUUCAGGGCCUUGAGUUUCUUCAGAAAAUCUGCUAGUAGCGUCUUGUUCAGGCAGCUGGUUUGAUCAUCGAGCUUGAACGCUAGCCCUCAUUGAAUGCCUGAAGCCGAUUGAUGGGUUUUAUGGAUGGAUUAGUCGAACUGUCGAAGCUGCCUGGUUGUCCCAGCAAGCAUGAUCGCCGUGGUGCAGAUGUUGCUGUCCCUCUCUGCGAUCAUGUCAAUUAUAGCACGGAGCCUUCGUUUUAAGUUGCCAUGUCCAGACACCAUGCUUCCAUGGACGCGGAUCAGAAGUGUACAACCCAACGCGUUUCACCUGUGCCCCAAAAAAAAUGAGUUAAAACGAUGCAUUCAAGCUGUGGCGCCUGCUGCCCCCAUCCUGCUUGUUUUGCAUGGUCCCCCCUGUUCAGGUUCAGGGAGAGAGGUGAGGUGAGGUGAGGUCCCCCUUGCUUGGGCCGUGCGAUGCGGCAGCUAGCGUGAAGGCACGCUCGCGAGUUCGGCACUCGCUUUCGGUCGGGGGGGCCAUUCAAUUAAGCUGCAUGGACGCACGUAGGACGGCGACGUUCGUUAGCCACGGACGCCGGAACGCUUGCGUCCACUUCCCCGGAAAGCUCGACGGAGAGAGGGAGAAGGCCCCGGUAGGCCUUUGCUCACCCUGCAACAAUAUGCUGUCGGGCCGGGUCGACAUCGACAGCCCGAGGAGGAGGAGAUGCGUUAGCUAUCCAGACUAUCUCGACAGAGGAGCUCAUGGUGAAAAAAGGAUUAAGUUUUUCUCUCGCGGUUCAGUAGCUUGGACAUUAAUGGCAGCCAGCUCGAGCGGUUGUGCUAUCACGUCCGGUGAUACAGAUUACAAGGGGACACGGGGAGUAAGUGCCAGGGGUGCAAGAGGCGGCAAGCGAAGCCGGCGUGGGGACCGACCGCUGCACGCUGCAACCUGCAAACGGAGGUGAAACCUCUGCCCUGCUACAAG